rnacentral:rRNA from 1 species
CCCUCCGCGCGCGGCGGGCGGGGCGNGGGCCAUAUCCAAUAAGCGGAGGAAAAGAAACCAACAGGGAUUGCCUCAGUAGCGGCGAGUGAAGCGGCAAGAGCUCAGAUUUGAAAUCGCCUCGGCGAGUUGUAAAUUGCAGGUUGGAGUCUUUGUGGCGGCGUGUGUCUAAGUCCCUUGGAACAGGGCGCCAUUGAGGGUGAGAGCCCCGUGCGGCACGCGUCCAAGCUUUAAGACCCUUCUGACGAGUCGAGUUGUUUGGGAAUGCAGCUCUAAGUGGGUGGUAAAUUCCAUCUAAGGCUAAAUACUGGCGAGAGACCGAUAGCGAACAAGUACUGUGAAGGAAAGAUGAAAAGCACUUUGAAAAGAGAGUGAAACAGCACGUGAAAUUGUUGAAAGGGAAGGGUAUUGGGCUCGACAUGGGGACUGCGCACCGUUGCUUCUUGUAGGCGGCGCUCUGUGCGGUUUCUGGGCCAGCAUCAGUUUUUGCCGCGGGAGAAUGGGGGGAGGAACGUGGCUCUUCGGAGUGUUAUAGCCUCUCUCAGAUGCCGCGAGCGGGGAUCUGAGGUCUGCGAUUCGUCAAGGAUGCUGGCACAACGCGCAACGGGUG